rnacentral:pre_miRNA from 14 species
UGUCGAAGAUAUGCAAAAUAAAAAGCAUGGGCACAAGUAUCAUGUGUUGGUAUCAUUGUUUCAAGUUAUUUGUUGCUAUGGUAUCGAUAAGCAUGCUACGUGUGAAGUGCGACAA